rnacentral:rRNA from 1 species
AACGAACGCUGGCGGCAGGCCUAACACAUGCAAGUCGAGCGAGGACUUCGGUCCUAGCGGCGGACGGGUGAGUAACGCGUGGGAACGUGCCCUUUGCUUCGGAAUAGCCCUGGGAAACUGGGAGUAAUACCGGAUGAGCCCCUUGGGGGAAAGAUUUAUCGGCGAAGGAUCGGCCCGCGUUGGAUUAGGUAGUUGGUGGGGUAAUGGCCUACCAAGCCGACGAUCCAUAGCUGGUUUGAGAGGAUGAUCAGCCACACUGGGACUGAGACACGGCCCAGACUCCUACGGGAGGCAGCAGUGGGGAAUCUUAGACAAUGGGGGAAACCCUGAUCUAGCCAUGCCGCGUGAGCGAUGAAGGCCUUAGGGUUGUAAAGCUCUUUCAGCUGGGAAGAUAAUGACGGUACCAGAAGAAGAAGCCCCGGCUAACUCCGUG